GAGCUGUUAGAGGUUGUUCCUUCUUUGGUAUAAAAAGGGAAGCCAGGUAGGAGGUAGCAGAGAGUUGUCCUACAGGCACAUGUACUCUUUGUUUGGUAACCUCCUUUUUGGGAAACUACUGUUUCAUGCUCAUUAAGGAGGUUCUUAAUUUGUUUGGACUGAGUGGCUCGGACUGAGGAUUGUUUGAAGGCCUAGCUGUGCUUAUCUCCAACUCAAGUUCUCCAGUCGUACCUCUCCCUCAGGUUCAUUCUCCAUCUGGUCUGCAUCAUAACUGCCUGGUCCGGGAGCUGAGGGAGCGGGAGAGUGAUUUCCCAGAUGUGAGUUCAGGAGUGUACGUCUACGAGGUGAUCCCGGGAACGGCAGCCUCCAGUGCUGGCCUGAUGAACCAUGACGUGAUCAUCACCAUCAACGGCCAGCUGGCCCAAACCACGGAGGACGUGAGCCAUGCAGUGCAGUCCGGCGAACCCCUGUCCGUUGUGGUGCGACAGGCUAACGAAGACGUCACGCUCACAAUCAUCCCCGGAGAACAAGAGUGACCUGUGGCAUACCUGCGGAUUAUACGUACUGUGUGCUGAAUAACAGAGUACUGAGAAUAGGGCAUUGAUUACAGGACAAAAUCUGCAGUAUAUGUUUGUAAAAUAAGCUGCUUUUUUUUUUUUUACAUAGUUUUUGAGCUGAAGUAUAGAAAUUGGGGUGUUAUUGGCUGAUUGUUUGUGUUUAGUUACAAAAGUGUAUUAUCAAAAAUGUAUAUAAUUUUACAUUUUUAUAAGUUUCUACAAAGUUAUGAAAUUCCUCUUUUUAUCAUUUAUUUUAUAUAUUCAAACUGUAAUAAUUAACAACAGGGAAUGUUUGGUGCUGUUUUUAUUAAUAGGAAAUUUAUAUUUGAAGUUAGGAAACAUGGAUUUCACACUCCAUAUUAAGCACUUAUAUUAUUAUAAUGAAAACUAUUGUGAGGGCAUUUAAACACUGGCAACUUGUUUGGAGUGUACAUUGCUGCUCAAUUCCAAUCGCAGUGUUGGUUCUGUGGUGGUGUUUAUAAUCAUGCCGCAAUAAAUUUGAUUCUCCACGCCA